rnacentral:rRNA from 1 species
GGGGAAUUUUCCGCAAUGGGCGAAAGCCUGACGGGGCAAUACCGCGUGAGGGAGGAAGGCUCUUGGGUUGUAAACCUCUUUUCUCAGGGAAGAACAAAAUGACGGUACCUGAGGAAUAAGCAUCGGCUAACUCCGUGCCAGCAGCCGCGGUAAUACGGAGGAUGCAAGCGUUAUCCGGAAUGAUUGGGCGUAAAGCGUUCGUAGGUGGUCCUUCAAGUCUGCUGUCAAAGCGCAGGGCUUAACUCUGUAAAGGCGGUGGAAACUGAAGAGCUAGAGUGCGGUAGGGGUAGAGGGAAUUCCCGGUGUAGCGGUGAAAUGCGUAGAGAUCGGGAAGAACACCAGCAGCGAAAGCGCUCUACUGGGCCUGCACUGACACUGAGGGACGAAAGCUAGGGGAGCGAAUGGGAUUAGAUACCCCAGUAGUCCUAGCCGUAAACGAUGGAUACUAGGUGUUGCCUGUAUCGACCCGGGCAGUGCCGUAGCUAACGCGUUAAGUAUCCCGCCUGGGGAGUACGCGCGCAAGCGUGAAACUCAAAGGAAUUGACGGGGGCCCGCACAAGCGGUGGAGUAUGUGGUUUAAUUCGAUGCAACGCGAAGAACCUUACCAGGGCUUGACAUGUCGCGAACCUCAGGGAAACUUGAGGGUGCCUUCGGGAGCGCGAACACAGGUGGUGCAUGGCUGUCGUCAGCUCGUGUCGUGAGAUGUUGGGUUAAGUCCCGCAACGAGCGCAACCCUCGUCCUAAGUUGCCAGCAUUAAGUUGGGCACUCUGAGGAGACUGCCGGUGACAAACCGGAGGAAGGUGGGGAUGACGUCAAGUCAGCAUGCCCCUUACGUCCUGGGCUACACACGUACUACAAUGCUACGGACAAAGGGCAGCCAGACAGCAAUGUCGAGCAAAUCCCAUAAACCGUGGCACAGUUCAGAUUGCAGGCUGCAACUCGCCUGCAUGAAGGUGGAAUCGCUAGUAAUCGCAGGUCAGCAUACUGCGGUGAAUCCGUUCCCGGGCCUUGUACACACCGCCCGUCACACCAUGGAAGCUGGCUUAGCCCGAAGUCGUUACCCUAACCCGCAAGGGAGGGGGACGCCGAAGGCAGGGCUGGUGACUGGGGUGAAGUCGUAACAAGGUAGCCGUACCGGAAGGUGUGGCUGGAUCACCUCCUU